AUGCUACUGCAUUCGAAAGGUAGUGUAGCAGUGUCCAAAGAGCAAACAAGCUGCACGAUGUGCAAUGAGUGCCCCAACCCAUGCCCCGCGCCAUCUCUACCUCCACCAUCGCCACCACCACCAGUUAUCAUUGAAUGCCCACCACCUCCUGCGACUCCUUCUUCACCACCACCAUUGCCGCCACCACCGGUUAUCAUUGAAUGCCCACCACCUCCUGCGCCUCCUUCUUCACCACCACCAGCUCUCCCUGAAUGUCCACCACCACCUCAACCUCAACCACCACCACCUGUGAGGCCUCCGUGUCAAGACACUUGCGGAUCCUCGUCCUCUCCUCCCGCGGCAGAUGUUCCCUCAUUAAUC
rnacentral:lncRNA from 1 species